rfam:Schistosoma mattheei strain Denwood, Zambia genome assembly, scaffold: SMTD_scaffold0000859
AUCUAGUUGAAGUAUCCCAAAUAGGACGAAACAAGCUUUCUGGAU